CUUUCAGCUUCCACCAUGGGAUGAUACAGCAUGAAGGCCCUCACCAGAUAUGCACCCCUUGAUUUUGGACUUCCCAGACUCCAGAACUUCAAUCAGUUUUUAUUUAACAGCUUAAAAAACGUCCUCUAGUCCCAGGUCCAAAAGCUUUAAAAUAUGACAUUGUAUCUCCUUCCAUAAAAAGGUGGAGUCUGCCUCCCUAUCCUUUGAAUUCGGACUGGCAUCGUCACUUGCGUUGGACAAGGUAUAUGGUAGUAGUGUUGAUGUGCGAGUUUUGAGCUUAGAUCAUUGGAGGUCUUCCCCUUUCUUUUUCAGAUCUCUGUGGUUACUCUGUGAAUUGGUCUGUACAGGCCCACUUGAGUACAGAUGAGCCAUUUCAGCUAAGCCUACAAGACACUUCCAGCUAAACCUAGCCCAAAUUGCCAACUUGCAGAAUCUGUCUUCAUCAGGAAGAUCUGUUUGAUGUAGCAAACAGCAUCCUCAACAACAUCCUUAUAGUACAAGUCAUGUGGGUUAUUUUAAAAAUGAGACUUAUUCUCAGUGCUGCACUCUCAAGAAUGAUAGAAUCUGGGCUAUCCCUGUGACUUGCUUUGACUAACGGAAUGUGACAGAAUGACGUUGUGCAACAUCCAAAUCAGGACUUAAGAAACUGUAGGCAGCCAUCAUGCUGUGAACGCAAGCUGUGUGGAGAGACUAAGUGGAGGUGAAUGGAGUCAGUUCAGUCAACAGCCCUACCUGAUAUUUCAGUCCAUAACUAGCCCUGUGUGUCAGCCCUGUGAACAGGUCGUCUUGGACUUUUCACCCCAGUUGAGAAUAAUGACUACAUCCUCAGCUGAUAGCACAUGGAACAGAGGAACUACCUAGCUUAGCUGGGCCCAUAUUGCAGAAUUGUGAGAGAUCAUGAAAAG
rnacentral:lncRNA from 1 species